UCACCAUUUUCGGUGCACAGAGGCACAAUUCACAAUUUAAGUGGCAGUUAAACCAUCAACACCAGUCUCAUUUCAGUAACCAAUUAGAACAGUCAGCUGCCAAAACAACAGAAACUCAGCCAGAGGAAGCAGAAACAAGUUACUUCAGCAAGCAGAGUAACAUACUGAAGAAUACAGAAAACAGAUCUUACUGACAAGUACUCUUAUUCUACCUGACCAAACUCAGAACCUGGUGGGAAAUAGUAAGAAAACAUAAAAGGAGACCGAAGGAGACUAAAUACAUAGAGAAUCAGAACUUAAGAGAAGAACAAAACAGAACAGAAAAUUUUCUUGAGACUGAUAACAGAAAAGGCAAAUAAGAAUCUACUGCUGUAUACUUAAAUUUCCUCUGUUAUUUGUGAUCUCUGGAAUUUUGCACUGGUUUUAACAUGACAUUUCAAAAUAUCUCUGUUUUCCAAAUUGCCAUAUUGGACUUUUUCCACAGCUUUACUCUACUAGGCAAACUAGUUCUAACCAUCUAUAUGUAGCUAUUUUGACAUAUAUGCUAUUUAUAUGUUACUUUAAAAUUUAUUUUCUUUAUAGUUACUUACUUUUUCUCCUAAAAAUACACAUAAGAUUAGUGUUUAUCUAGGAAAUGCAGAAGUUCUUCUGGAUUUUUUGUCUUGUGACUACUGAUAAGUUUAGAUUCUUACUGCAUCUGAAAAAAAUUACCUGCCUUUCACUUGAAGGCAUUCACACUGGUGUCAAGAUGUGUCAAGAUCUUUUGCUGUGCCACCUCCACUGAAAGGCUGUCAAGGUGAAAACAUUACAUGUCAUCCUAGCUUCCCACGCUACAUCCAAUUUUAAUUUACUCUUAAAUUGCCACAUAUCUUGUGAGCACUUGUGAGUAUUCACAGUGUAUCACAAGAUAUUAUAAUACACUGUGAAUACAUUGUAUUCUAUUAAGUAGAUGUUUAUAAUCCAUGUUUCCUUCAAAAAUAAAAAAAUUGAGGAAUACAGCAAAAUGAAGGAA